rnacentral:rRNA from 1 species
AGAAUCAACGCUGGCGGCGUGCCUAACACAUGCAAGUCGCACGAGAAAGGGUAGCAAUACCUGAGUAAAGUGGCGCACGGGUGAGUAACACGUGACUAACCUACCUUCGAGUGGGGAAUAACCUGGGGAAACCCGGGCUAAUACCGCAUAAUACCUACGGGUCAAAGGAGCAAUUCGCUUGAAGAGGGGGUCGCGGCAGAUUAGUUAGUUGGCGGGGUAAUGGCCCACCAAGACGAUGAUCUGUA